rnacentral:rRNA from 1 species
CCUACGGGAGGCAGCAGUGGGGAAUAUUGCGCAAUGGGCGAAAGCCUGACGCAGCGACGCCGCGUGAGGGAUGAAGGUCUUCGGAUCGUAAACCUCUGUCAGCAGGGAAGAACGGUCACUGUGCUAAUCAGCAGUGAAUUGACGGUACCUGCAAAGGAAGCACCGGCUAACUCCGUGCCAGCAGCCGCGGUAAUACGGAGGGUGCGAGCGUUAAUCGGAAUUACUGGGAGGAAAGCGCUCGUAGGCGGUAUGUUAAGUCAAGGGGGAAAUCCCCGCGCUCAACGUGGGAACUGCCUUUGAAACUGGCAAACUGGAGUGUGUGAGAGGAUAGUGGAAUUCCAGGUGUAGGAGUGAAAUCCGUAGAUAUCUGGAGGAACAUCAGUGGCGAAGGCGACUAUCUGGCACAUAACUGACGCUGAGGAGCGAAAGCGUGGGUAGCAAACAGGAUUAGAUACCCGGGUAGUC